rnacentral:lncRNA from 1 species
AUGCAUGGGCUGCCGGUGGUUGCAGGGCUGCUGCUCCCCACAGUCUGCAUGUGGGGCAUUUUGCUGAGCCCACCCUCUGGCUGGAAAUGCCCCUGCACGAACUCAGGACUACAGAAUCCAGCAGGAGCACUGCUGAGCCACCAAAUCCUGCUGCUCCAGCACGACAGCUCCUGCAAUAAGGCAGCUCCUGCAGGGCUGUGCCAGGACGCUGGGCACAGCAAUAAGGGCAGGGGGCUCAGCAGGACCUCCAUGAGCUGCAAAAGGUGGAACCACAUCCCUGGCAGCCUUAAAGCAAGCACUCCAGAGCCACGUGUUCCAGAGGAGCAGCAUCACUGGGGACAGCAGAGAGGGACAGGGCAGCCCCAUGUUGUUCAGAGGGGGAUCGAGCUCAGUCCCAAACCCUUUGCUUUGAGCGAGGAGGCUCUGUGCAGCCACGGUGACUCACUAGUAGGGCCCAGUGAGGGCCACCCCUCCCCACAGCCUCUCCCCUCGCGAAGGAACUGCUGAGACUACUAAGAAUAGUUAGAAACCAAAAAUAGAAUAAUUUUCUUAUUCAAAAAAAAAAAAAAAAAAAGUAAAACCAAAAAAAAAAACAAAAACAAAAAACAAGAACCCCCCCAAAAAAAACUCCAUCCUCUGAAAAUAGCCAGCUGCAAUCCGGUGAGCCGAACCGCUCCCUUGACUCGUCCAAACCCCACUGCGGGGCCGGGAUGGCACGGGACCGUCCCUGCUCCCACGGCAUGUGCCACCCAGCACUGAUGCGAAGCCAUCCGUCCCCACUCCUCUACAUCUACCGCAGGGAAAAACAGCCAUCAGAGGUCUUUAGAUGCAGCAGUGACAGCGAACGGACAAAAGGGUCAACGUGAUGAGACGGCAGGGAGGUGCGGGUUCGCCCCGGGGACCACGCGGAGAAGCUCGGACGGUGCCUCCAGCAUUUGAGGAGCAGAGGGAAGGGGCUGGGGCAGAGGAGGAGGAAGCAGAGGACGGAGCCCGCAUGGCCCUGGCCGGGUGAGGG